UUUGAGUGGUUCUUCUGUAAAUAGUUUGCCUGAAUGCGUGUCAGAGCUUAAGCAGCUGAGACAUCUCUUUGGAAGUUAUAGAUUAGAAGUGCCAGAUAUAGUAUUCACA